GCGGGUUUAUCUAGAGUAUUGCUUUCAUUUGCCUAUUUGGCCAACAGCAAGUUGAUAAAACAGCUCUGUGUGCUGAGUGCCAUCACUGAAAGUAUGUUCUGGAAAAGUAGGGAGGAGAAUGAUACUCAAGACACAGUGUAUGGAUUGGCUGGAAAAACUCAGGUGCCUCUUCCCUUGCACGAAUGGGCAAGUGCAGCAGCUGAGUCACUCUUCAGAGAGACCCUGUGAAGGGCCCCCCAUGGACUGCAGCUCACCAGGCUCCUCUGUCCAUGGAAUUCUCCAGGCAAG